AUGAACGCUGGCGGCGUGGAUAAGGCAUGCAAGUCGAACGGACUUUAUUUUUCCAAUGAUGCGAUUAUAUCAAUUCAAAGGUCGUUUAAAGUUAGUGGCGAACGAGGUAGUAAUACGCAGGAACUUCCCCCAAAGUCGUGAAUAAUCCGGAGAAAUCCGGACUAAUACACGAUGGUCUCGCAAGAGUAAAGAAUUUCGCUUUGGGAAAGGCCUGUGCGGUAUCAGCUAGUUGGUAGUGUAAUGGACUACCAAGGCUAUGACGCCUAGGGGAGCUGAGAGGCUGACCCCCACCGAUGGUACUGAGACACGGACCAUACACCUACGGGUGGCUGCAGUCGAGAAUCUUCCACAAUGGACGAAAGUCUGAUGGAGCGACGCCGCGUGAUUGAUGAAGUCCCUCUGGGACGUAAAGAUCUUUUAUGAGGGAAGAAGUUUAUUGACGGUACCUCAUGAAUAAGAGGCUCCUAAUCUCGU
rnacentral:rRNA from 1 species